GAAAUGCGAUAAGUAAUGUGAAUUGCAGAAUUCAGUGAAUCAUCGAAUCUUUGAACGCACCUUGCGCCCUUUGGUAUUCCGAAGGGCAUGCCUGUUUGAGUGUCAUUAAAUUCUCAACCUUGCAAGCUUGCUUGCGAGGCUUGGAUGUGAGGGUUUUUGCUGGCUUCCUUUAGUUGGAUGGUCUGCUCCCUUUAAAUUCAUUAGUGGGAUCCUUUGUGGAUGGUCACUUGGUGUGAUAAUUAUCUACGCCGUCUGACUCUGAAACAAGACUUGUGGGGACCUGCUUAUAACUGUCUUUUCGGAGACAAUCUUGACAAUUUGACCUCAAAUCAGGUAGGACUACCCGCUGAACUUAA
rnacentral:rRNA from 1 species